rnacentral:lncRNA from 12 species
GGCGAGUGUGGGGUUCAAACCGGGAUCUUCGGCAGCGGGCUUUGGAUAGGCACGCAGGGUUGUGCGUAAUCCUUCAGCUCUGGUGGGAAGGGAGAUGCCGUGAGCUCCUGGGGGAGGCGAGGGUUAUUUUGCAAAACUCCCUUAGUGUCGUGCAGCAGAGUACUGCGGGCGGUCGGCGAGGUAGGUGGAGGAGGGAAAGACACGGGAAGGGAAUCGGGGAGAGGCCAGCCCCCGGGGACGCUGUGCCUCGCUCCCCGAAUUGACAGGUGGUGGCCUCAGCAGUUACAACCUACUACCUAGCAUCUCGUCCGUGCAAAAACGAUCACGUUGUUAAUUCCCCGCACCGCGCGGAAGAGCGCAGCGCGGCAGAGCAAGUGCCACGGGCGAGCUGCCUCCCGGGGAGGGGGUAGUGGGGGUACAGAGAAGGGGGGGUUGGAGGGGGGCAGCGGAGGACACCGGAGCUUGGGCGCUUGGCGGCCGUCUGCACCGCGGGGCUGCCCGCCGGUCCGCGCGCGCGCCCCGCAGCCGCCCCCGGCUCGUGCGCCCCUUUCCGGGGCUCCCGGCCCCGCCUCGGCGGCUGCGGGCUCCUCGUCGCCCGCCCGGCUGCACGCGAGCGUCUCCCGCCGGCUCCCGCGCCCGCGGAGCGCUGCACCGACGAGCCGAGCCGGGCGGAGCCGCCGCGCUGCACCAGCGGCGCCUCGGGCAGGAGGAGGGCGGCUUCCGCGGUUCUGGGAAUCUUGCUGUCCAGUGGGAGAUGGAUAAACACUGUGUUAGUACAAGACUGCACAAGGAACAGAGGGAGUUUUGGACAAUACUGCAAGAGAGGUCUUCACAGAAUGUGAAAAUUAGGCUGAGUUUCAAAGGAUGGCAUACGGAGUUGAGUUACCAUUUUUCUUUCAGUGACUCUCCCUUUUGCAGGUAACUGGGGUUAGCAGUAGGACACUCAUUUAUUUAUUCAAUCAUUGAGCAGAUAUUUAUUAAGCACAUAUUAUGUGUCAGGGGUUCAGCAGGUGAACAGGUAUCAGUCCAACAGAGACAACAUGGUGAAUACAGAUAAUCUGGAUCAGAGAUAAAGAGUGGAUCAAGUCCAAAUGGGGGAAUGGGAAACCCAGUCUGAUUCUUGGCAGAUGCCCUGUCCUCAUGAAUUUGGGGUAGGGGGAUAAUUAUAUGGUUUUGGAGGUAUAGGUAGAUAAUGCAGUUAAAUCACUUUACAUUUUAGGUACAAUAUGUACCAUCUACAUGGGUUCUCAUCCCAAAUGUAUUAUUUGUGCAAAGCUAUCCUUUCUGUGUCUUUGUUUUCAUAUUUGUAAAAUGAAGAUAAAGGUAACCAACCUAUAGAUUCUUGGGAGUAGUAAAUAGAACUUAUGUAACUUAAGAACUUUUGUCACAGGGAGGGUGCUCAAUAAAUGUAACUGUUUAAAGUUUGGGAUUUUGAAU